rnacentral:rRNA from 1 species
AACGAACGCUGGCGGCAGGCUUAACACAUGCAAGUCGAACGCCCCGCCAGGGGAGUGGCCGACGGGUGAGUAACGCGUGGGAACAUACCCUUUUCUACGGAAUAGCUCUGGGAAACUGGAAUUAAUACCGUAUACGCCCUACGGGGGAAAUAUUUAUCGGGGAAGGAUUGGCCCGCGUUGGAUUGGCUAGUUGGUGGGGUAAAGGCCUACCAAGGCGACGAUCCAUAGCUGGUCUGAGAGGAUGAUCAGCCACAUUGGGACUGAGACACGGCCCAAACUCCUACGGGAGGCAGCAGUGGGGAAUAUUGGACAAUGGGCGCAAGCCUGAGACAGCCAUGACGCGUGAGUGAUGAAGGCCUUAGGGUUGUAAAGCUCUUUCACCGAUGAAGAUAAUGACGGUAGUAGGAGAAGAAGCCCCGGCUAACUUCGUG